rnacentral:rRNA from 1 species
AGUAAUGGGGGAUAGCUCGGCGAAAGCCGGAUUAAUACCGCAUACGCUUUGAGGGGGAAAGCGGGGGAUCGCAAGACCUCACGUUAUUGGAGCGGCCGAUGGCUGAUUAGCUAGUUGGUAGGGUAAAGGCCUACCAAGGCGACGAUCAGUAGCUGGUUUGAGAGGACUAUCAGCCACACUGGGACUGAGACACGGCCCAGACUCCUACGGGAGGCAGCAGUGGGGAAUUUUGGACAAUGGGGGAAACCCUUGUACCAGCAAUGCCGCGUGUGCAAAGAAGGCCUUCGGGUUGUAAAGCACUUUUGUCAGGGAAGAAAUCCUUUGGCCCAAUAUCCCAGGGGGAUGACGGUACCUGAAGAAUAAGCCCGGCUAACUACGUGCCAUCAGCCGCGGUAAUACGUAGGGUGCAAGCGUUAUCGGAAUUACUG